AGCUUUCUAAAUCCGCGCUCAGAGUUCGUAAGACAUCAACCCAUUAGGGCUGACGAGACUUCCAAGAUAAGUGAAGUU
rnacentral:pre_miRNA from 1 species